AUAGCAUAAACAAGGAAAAGAGCUGUACAAACAAGCAGCUUAUGCAAGGGGCUCUAAUAGCAGGAAUGUGUGUAAAGACACUGGGACAAGGUUCCAGGCUUGUGGAUAAAACCUGGAGGAACACAGUUAAAACCAUUAGGAAGCUAUUUGAAAACUCAAGAUGCCACAAAGAUAGUUAUUCAUUUUCUUCAAUAAAGGAACUGGAAACUCACAAUCCAAGAUCACCAGGAGACAAGAAGACCUAAGCCAUAACCAGCUUCCUCAUUCCUCUCUAGACCACGCCCUCCUCCUGACCUCACUUCCGCCUCCAACAUCUUGGAUCCACCUUUUCCUUUCCACUGCCUAUAAAGACCCAACCUCCACCCUUUUGUCUCAGUCCUGUUUUGGACACAGUCUCUUGUUACUACUCGCUUUUACUGCAAUAUUGGAUCCCCAAACCUUUUUUUGUCUUUAUGUUCUUGUAUCACACUGUGGAAAUGCAUUGCUGGGCAAGAAAAGUUAUGUAUACAUUCUGCAGUGAUUUGUACACUGUAAUAACACUUGUCUGUAUAAUUUGUGCUAAAGCAAAGUUUAUUUGUCAGUGUCUUCAGUAUAACUUCAUGACUGUAAUUUUAUCUUCUGUAAGGAAACUGAUUAGUCCAUGUGUGAGUACCACCCACCUGACCCCACACAUCAAGCCAUUCUGAUGCUUUGG